GUUGAACGCUGGCGGAAUGCUUUACACAUGCAAGUCGAACGGUAGAGGGGGCAACCCCUCGAGAGUGGCGAACGGGUGAGUAAUAUAUCGGAACGUGCCCAGUCGUGGGGGAUAACGUAGCGAAAGUUACGCUAAUACCGCAUACGAUCUAAGGAUGAAAGCGGGGGAUCGCAAGACCUCGCGCGAUUGGAGCGGCCGGUAUCAGAUUAGGUAGUUGGUGGGGUAAAGGCUCACCAAGCCAACGAUCUGUAGCUGGUCUGAGAGGACGACCAGCCACACUGGAACUGAGACACGGUCCAGACUCCUACGGGAGGCAGCAGUGGGGAAUUUUUGGCAAUGGACGCAAGUCUGAUCCAGCCAUUCCGCGUGCAGGAUGAAGGCCCUCGGGUUGUAAACUGCUUUUGUACGGAACGAAAAGGUCUCUCUUAAUACGGGGGACUCAUGACGGUACCGUAAGAAUAAGCACCGGCUAACUACGUGCCAGCAGCCGCCGUAAUAC
rnacentral:rRNA from 1 species